rnacentral:rRNA from 1 species
UACGAAGGGUGCAAGCGUUACUCGGAAUUACUGGGCGUAAGGCGUGCGUAGGUGGUGAGUUAAGUCUGAUGUGAAAUCCCCGGGCUCAACCUGGGAAUGGCAUUGGAUACUGGAAGGCUGGAGUACCGGAGAGGAGGGUGGAAUUCCUGGUGUAGCGGUGAAAUGCGUAGAUAUCGGGAGGAACACCAGUGGCGAAGGCGGCUUCCUGGACCAGUACUGACGCUGAGGCGCGAAAGCUAGGGGAGCAAACAGG